UGGGGAAUUUUGCACAAUGGGGGCAACCCUGAUGCAGCGACGCCGCGUGAUUUAGAAGGCCUUCGGGUUGUAAAAAUCUUUUGUAUGGGAAGAAAAUGACAGUACCAUACGAAUAAGGACCGGCUAAUUACGUGCCAGCAGCCGCGGUAAUACGUAAGGUCCGAGCGUUGACCGGAAUCAUUGGGCGUAAAGGGUACGUAGGCGGAUAAGCAAGUUAGAAGUGAAAUCCUAUAGCUCAACUAUAGUAAGCUUUUAAAACUGCUCAUCUUGAGGUAUGGAAGGGAAAGUGGAAUUCCUAGUGUAGCGGUGAAAUGCGCAGAUAUUAGGAGGAAUACCGGUGGCGAAGGCGACUUUCUGGCCAUAAACUGACGCUGAGGUACGAAAGCGUGGGUAGCAAACAGG
rnacentral:rRNA from 1 species